AAAACUUUCAACAACGGAUCUCUUGGUUCUCGC
rnacentral:rRNA from 1 species